rnacentral:rRNA from 1 species
CACGUAGGGGACGAGCGUUGUCCGGAUUCAUUGGGCGUAAAGCGCGCGUAGGCGGCUCGGAAAGUCGGUCGUGAAAUGCCGGGGCUCAACCCCGGGACUGCGUCCGAUACUCUCGAGCUGGAGGCAGGUAGGGGAGAUCGGAAUUCCUGGUGUAGCGGUGAAAUGCGCAGAUAUCAGGAGGAACACCGGUGGCGAAGGCGGGUCUCUGGGCAGUAACUGACGCUGAGGAGCGAAAGCGUGGGGAGCGAACAGG